rnacentral:rRNA from 1 species
GAAUAUUGGACAAUGGGCGGAAGCCUGAUCCAGCAAUACCGCGUGUGUGAAGAAGGCCUGCGGGUUGUAAACCGCUUUUGUCAGGGAAGAAAUCUUCUGGGCUAAUACCUCGGGAGGAUGACGGUACCUGAAGAAUAAGCACCGGCUAACUACGUGCCAGCAGCCGCGGUAAU